rnacentral:tRNA from 1 species
GGAGAGAUGGCAGAGUGGCCGAUUGCGGCUGUCUUGAAAACCGUUGUGGGGCAACCCACCGGGGGUUCGAAUCCCUCUCUCUCCGCCA